rnacentral:rRNA from 1 species
AUUGAACGCUGGCGGCAGGCUUAACACAUGCAAGUCGAGCGAGCGGCGGACGGGUGAGUAAUGUCUGUGACACUGCCUGAUGGAGGGGGAUAAUUACCGGAAACGGUAGCUAAUACCGCAUACCAUCAGAUGUGCCCAGAUGGGAUUAGCUAGUUGGUGGGGUAAUGGCUCACCUAGGCGACGAUCCCUAGCUGGUCGGAGAGGAUGACCAGCCACCCUGGAACUGAGACACGGUACAGACUACUACGGGAGGCAGCGGUGGAGAAUAUUACACAAUGGGCGCAAGCCUGAUGCAGCCAUGCCGCGUGUGUGAAGAAGGCCUUCGGGUUGUAAAGCACUUUCAGCGAGGAGGCGUUACUCGAAGAAGAAGCACCGGCUAACUCCGUGCCAGCAGCCGCGGUAAUAC